rnacentral:lncRNA from 1 species
CGGGUGCACCAGCUGGGCAUGUGGUGCAUGCCACUCCUCUGCCCUGGUCCCUUCUGGGACGUUUUCACUCCGAGUGUUUCUUUUCACAACCUCCAUUGUUGCCCAGUUUCUUCCUCUGGAUGCAGCAACGGGCAACUUAGGACCUUUCAUUGUGCUCGCCUGCUCUGCCCCUGCCUCGCGGGGGCAUGUCCGUGAGGCAGGGAACAUCUGCCCUCACACAGGACACGUUGCCACCCGGGGAGCACCGUGGAUCCAGUGCCAUCCCUGCCCUCAGUGGCCCGGGGACUGGGGGACGUGCAGCUCCCGCCUCCUGUAGAAGCAGAUACGUAGGCAUCUCUGCAUGCAGCACCCAGGCUCCUACAGGACUUCCCGUGGCCGCGCACUGACCGCAGCAAUGAAGGUCAGGGUGAUGCCACCGGGGGCGCUGCGGGGCCCAUGUGUCACUAGCGGUCACUGCUCUGCCCCCUGGACUAAUGGGACACCAGACGCUGCAUCCACAGCCCAAGACACUGGCACUGGGUGGGGGCUGAGGCUCAGGACGAGCACACACAGCCGUCUCCCGGGAGCCCAGCAGGGAGAGCGGCUGCAGGUCCAGCAUGCUCAGGGUGCACACAGGGCAGGUGGGAGAGAGUGGGCCAGCAGGUUCCAGAGGCGGCAAGGAGUGAGGCUGCCAAUGGGAUGGGGCUAUCGUUCCUCAUCUUUCCCAGUGCAGUUUAUUUCAGAAUCUUCACAGGGAAACAGCUUUCAGAAAAGGGACCGUGUACACACAGCGAUGCUAUUUGUUUCGCCACUACUCGCCAGCGGCCACACCGGGGGGCGCAACACAAGAAUUGUGUUAAACUGGGCAGCCCAGGCCCUGCCCGGAACCAAGAGCAGCUGCGCCCCAUCCGGGUGGUCUCGGAAGCCAGCCUGGGCUCCUCUGAUGAUGCACAGGCCCAGGGCAGACAGGGCCCGCUGCCCUCUGGCUGCAGGAGGACCUGGCCGAUGCAGCCCUGCGUCCCAGAGACACGGGGGCGCCCCGCCUUGCUUCUGUGACCACCUGCUCAGCAGAGUCAGCGCCAGGCAGGGGCCCAGGGUAAGGGCCAGUGCGGACUUGGGGUGCAGCAGUGCCAGG